CGAACGCUGGCGGCGUGCUUAACACAUGCAAGUCGAACGGAAAGGCCCUGCUUUUGUGGGGUGCUCGAGUGGCGAACGGGUGAGUAACACGUGAGUAACCUGCCCUUGACUUUGGGAUAACUUCAGGAAACUGGGGCUAAUACCGGAUAGGAGCUCCUGCUGCAUGGUGGGGGUUGGAAAGUUUCGGCGGUUGGGGAUGGACUCGCGGCUUAUCAGCUUGUUGGUGGGGUAGUGGCUUACCAAGGCUUUGACGGGUAGCCGGCCUGAGGGGGUGACCGGCCACUUGGGGGUGGGGAUCCGGCCCAGCCUCCUCCGGGGGGCAGCGGGGGGGAAUUUUGAACAAGGGGCGGAAGCCUGAUGCAGAACCGCCGCGUGGGGGAUGGCGGCCUUGGGGUUGAAAACCGUUUUCGCCUGUGAAGAAGGGGGAGGGGCGGUAAGGGGAAAAGAAGCCCCGGCUAACUACG
rnacentral:rRNA from 1 species